AAGACAGCAGGGAAUGAGGGGAUCGGAGUGUGCCGGGGGACAGCCCGAGACCGAGGACGAGAAGAAGCGCUUUGAGGAAGGCAAAGGGCGGUACCUGCAGAUGAAGGCGAAGCGACAGGGCCACGCGGAGCCUCAGCCCUAGACUCCCUCCUCCUGCCACUGGUGCCUCGAGUAGCCAUGGCAACGGGCCCAGUGUCCAGUCACUUAGAAGUUCCCCCCUUGGCCAAAAACCCAAUUCACAUUGAGAGCUGGUGUUGUCUGAAGUUUUCGUAUCACAGUGUUAACCUGUACUCUCUCCUGCAAACCUACACACCAAAGCUUUAUUUAUAUCAUUCCAGUAUCAAUGCUACACAGUGUUGUCCCGAGCGCCGGGAGGCGUUGGGCAGAAACCCUCGGGAAUGCUUCCGAGCACGCUGUAGGGUAUGGGAAGAACCCAGCACCACUAAUAAAGCUGCUGCUUGGCUGG
rnacentral:lncRNA from 10 species